UAAUUUGGACUAUUUAAGAAAAGGGUUAUAUCCGUGGACCAUCAUCAUUGUGGGGAGCAAACCGGACUAGACUGAGUUACUGGAAUUAAGACUUAUUCUAUGCAUCUGCUCUCCCACAAUAUGGCGCUGGGAGAGAAGUAAACAGCUUCCGCACAGCUGCCUCCAGUUCAACCAAUAAACUGUAGGACUUGCUACUGAUUGGAGGAGAGCAGCGUACUCGGUGUGUGGGCAGCCGAGUUGGGAUUGGCGGAGGAGGACUAUAAAGGAGGAGAGAGACGGCAUGCACCAGGAACAUCUAAGGGGAACAUCUAGCUGAAGGAACACCCGUGCAGCCCCCGAGAAGAGCCGGCCGGCGGUGUGCCGCUCCCCUGUGGAAGUGGGGAAUGUGGCCAGGGGGAACUGCCCUUCCACGGAGGUGGAAGGGAUAGUAGCCAACCCGGGAAGAACCAGCAGCAAACCCGGGGAGGGCCGAGCAGACGAAAGAACAGCGCAGGGUCCUGUGUCGUUCCUCCACGAAGAGGGGGAGUGACAUGAUGGUGCCGUGACUUGGAUAGGAAGCCUAGGCAGGGCUUAGUGUCGUUCCCCCACGAAGACGGGGAGCGACAAUCAUCAUUCCCCAUCCGUGGAGAGUUAUGGAGCUUCAGUUAGUUUCUGUGAUAUACUGGAUAGAACAGCAUGAAGUUGGAAGGUUCUUUUGAAUAUUCUUUAAAAACAAAGAUUUAUUUAUUUAUUUAAAAUUCAGAGAGAGGGUGAGAGAGGUCUUCUACCCACUUUUCAAUGGUUCACUGCCUAAAUGGCACAAUAUCCAGAGCCGGGCCCAACUGAAGCUAGGAACUCCAUCCUGGUCUCCCACAUGAGUAACAGGAACCCAAACACUGGGACCAUUAUUCGCUUUUCCCAGGCUCUCUAUCAUGAUGCUGAAUUAGAAGCAGAGUAGCCAGGACUCAAACUGGUAUUCUGAUACUGCAUUCUCAUAUUGAAAGUGGCGGCUUAGCCCAUUGCACCACUAUAUUGGCCUGAUUUUUUUCCUUCUAAGCCAUUGGAGAGUCUGUGGCCCUAUCCUCUGAAUUAUCCAUAAAUAUCUGCCUUCAAAUUAACAUGAUGAGAAUCACUCAAAGCUAUACCACCUGUAUAGAGAAGAGGAGUUAUAAUAAAUCAACUAAUGAAGACUUAAAGCAACCAAACAAAGUGAUGUAUUUUCAGUUUACUUUAUAAUCACAGCUUAACCAUCCACUACAUAAAGAAUUCAACAAGUGCUAAAAUAGAAUAUUACAAAAACCAGUGACAGUCACACGUGAAUUUUAUUGAAAACAAGCAAAUGAGAGGCAAGGCAACCAAUCGGGACUGGCCACUGAUCGGAAGCAACACUCCUUACCAGAGUGUGGCCCUUAACAGUGAGUUACACAGCUUUUUAUAGUAUUCUGUCCACUAGGACUCACAAUUUCAAACUGAACCCCUGCUAUGCAAUGAACAAUAAAAAAAACCUAGUGUAUGAUUAUAAGAUAAUAGUUAACAAUAAUAAACCCAAUAACAGAUCCAAGAUAUGGUUGUAAGAUAGCAGUGAAGGACACACUUCUGUCAGCCUAGUUCCUGGGAACUUGGGCCCACUUGGUUUCACAAAAUACACCCUUAGCCAUUAGCAAGCAAAGCUAAUAUGUACGGAAGCAAGAGAUCUGCAAUUAGCUUUUAGCCAUACUCACUCCAUUUUGAUUUUGACUCUACAUUCUGAAGAUCACAUGCCUGCUUUCUGGCUUAAAAAGAUUACACAUAUGUUUGAUGGUUUCCACUCGAAUGUGAUUUCAGUAAUUAGUUUUUCAAGUAUUUUCUCAUGGAAUUCUUGCCUGAGUGGUAAGGCAGACCUUUUAGUUGCUUACCAAUGUGCACAUGUGCUUUCUUUCAUCUACAAAAGGUCAAUGAGGUGGCAAGAACGCAUGCUUGGUGUUUUGUCCAUUCUUCCUGUCUCAGGUUUAGAGUGUGCUAUUUGAAAGGGAAAUAGCAUCUUGAUGCCCUGAAGACCGUCAGGAAUCUAGGGCAGUCAGAGUUGAGUGCCCAUUUAAAGUCUUUCAUGAGAUUUUAAUCAGGAAGGCGUUGUGGACUGGGUUCCUAUCUGAAGGCUCAGCUGAGGAUGAUCCAUUUCCAAUCUUACUCAUGCUUCUUAAAAUAAUUCAGUUCCUUAAUCGGUGAAUGAAGGUCUAUGUUUUUCACUGGCCCUUCCUGAACAGGCAGGCAGUCCCCUCGACAGGGAAACAGCAGUGUCGCUGCCUUAACUCAGAGGAAGAAAGAAACAAAAUUUCCAAAUAGGAGCCAAUGUUUUUGUAAUCUACCUAUCAGUAGUUAUGCCACAAAUGGGGUGCUGCAGCAUGGUGGGUAAGCCACUGCCUGCAGUGCCAGAAUCCCGUAUGGGCACCAGUUUGAGUCUCGGCUGCUCCACUUCCAAUCCAGCUCUAUGCUGUGGCCUGGGAAAGCAGUAGAGGAUGGACCAAGUUCUUGGGCUUCUGCACCCCUGUGGGAGACCCAGAAGAGGCUCUAGGUUCUUGGCUUCAGAUCAGCCUGAUUCCUGUCAUUGUGGUCAUUUGUGGAGUGAACCAGUAGAUGGAGAAGUCUCUCUCUCUCUCUCUCUCUCUCUCUCUCUCUCUCUCCCUUUCUCUAACUCUGCCUUUCAAAUAAAUGAAUAAAUCUCUAGAAGAAAGAGGAAGUUAUACCACACAUCUCAGGGGCAUUCCGUAUGAGAGCCAGCCUUUCACUCCAGCAAGGGGUAGGUAGUGAUUAUACAAGGUGUAAAUGUGAGGGACAGGUCUUAGAAGAUGUCUGCUCCAAGAAAUGACACUUCAGGCUUAGACCCUCAAUGUCAUUCCGCUAGCUGGUGAGAGAAGGACAUUUAAAUUACUGAUCAUCUAUUUUAUUAGGUUUUCUCAUAACUGCCAUCAGGAAGAUGAUAAAAUCAUGCUACAUAAAUCAUUUUAAAUAGAUCCGUUUGGGUAUUUAAAGAAUAUUUGAAAGAUCAUUAACUUAGUCCCUGAUAGUAUCAUUCAGUAGCCACUAGUCCUGAAAUCAUACUUCUGGAAUUCUUGCUAUAUGAUCCCUAUUUUACACGCUCCCCCGUAAAUAAAGAAGAAAAUAAAUAAAUAAUCAUAGACUCAUUAAAUAACUGUAGCUACCCUGGAUGAAAACAUAAAAUAAUAAAGCUGCUGUAUUCUCUGUGUUCUUCUAUGUCUGAAAGCCUGAUACCUUACCCUACCUGAGGGGCUUGGUUCUCUCUCUUUAUCUGUCUUCUCCCUUUUUUUCCUUGCUGUGUUUUAAAUAAUGUAGUUCUAUUCACCAUUUUUGUUAAAGUUCCUGAGAAUUACUUAUGGGCAAUUUUUAGUACCUUGAUUUGGUUUUGUACAAUGUUGAAACUGAUGUUUAAUGUCCCUGCAAAAAGUUUGAGCAUGUGUGUCUAUAUCGGGAAGUGCGUUUUCCUAAAUUACUCAUCUCAGGUUCAUUUUUUAUAAAUGCAUUACUUUCAAAAAUAGUAUAGACAGCACAAUGUUGGAAUUGUAUUAUCUUUUUGUCUCAUCUUUAUUUUCUUCCAUGAGAUUUACUUUGCUCUGAUAUUUUAGAAGGGUGUACUUAUGUAUAUAAAAUAUUAAUUACUUAGUUCUUUCUUAAAGGAUAGAGGUCUACAUCAAUAUUAGGGAUCAAAAUUUGUUUGUCGGGGCCCGGCGCCAUGGCUCACUUGGUUAAUCCUCCGCCUGCGGCGGCAGCAUCCCAUGUGGGUACCGGGUUCUAGUUCUGGCUGCUUCUCUUCUAGUCCAGCUCUCUGCUGUGGCCCGGGAGGGCAGUGGAGGAUGGCCCAAGUGCUUGGGCCCCUGCACCCGCGUGGGAGACCAGGAAGAAGCACCAGGCGCCUGGCUCCGGAUCGGCGCAGCGCCGGCUGUGGAGGCCAUUUUUGGGGUGAACCAACAGAAGGAAGGCCUUUCUCUCUGUCUCUCUCUCUCUCUCACUAUUUAUAUCUCAACCUGUCAAAUAAAUAAAUAAAAAAAAUUGUUUUGUCAGAUAUUCUUUUCACUUUUAGUUUCAAAAAUUGAUGAUACUGUGCAUAUCAGGGAAAUUCACUGCUUUCCCAUAAUUUCUUUCCUGUUUCAAUGAGAAUUCAGGAUGCUCUUGCAUUCUGUAAAGAUUUUACUAUGACUAUUGAAACAAAUUUCCUCAAACCUGAUGGCUUACAACAACAUAAAUUGAUGCUUUCACAGUUUUGGAGGCCAGAAACUGCCUGAAAUCAAAAUCAGUCGUUCAAAAUCAAGGUAUUUGCGGGCCUGCACUUGUGCGAGACUGUGGGGCAGCAUCUAUUCUUUGAGCUUCCUCCUGGUAUUCCCUUGGCUUGUGACUGCAUCUUCCCUUCUGAUUGCUUCCUCCUCUGUAUGUUAAGUGUCCUUCUCUAUACCUGCUCUUGUAAUUGCAUUUCUCCAAUAACCGAGAAUAACCCUGCUAUCUCAAGAUCAUUAAUAUAAUCACACCUGGAAGGCUUUACCACAGAAGAAGUGUUUAUAGAUCCCAGAGAUGAAGCACACAGGCACAACUUGGAAGGCUCUAAUUUAGCCUAUCAUAGACACUGAAUUAUUUUCCUUUAUGCAUUAAUUAAUGUAUUCUGCUCUAUUCACCACUUCAUUUCUACUGAAAUCAUUACCAUUGCAAUCUCUGGUAAGCACCUGAAGUACUUUGAUUAUGCUGUAAACACCUUCCCUUACUGCCUCAUAGCCUUUCUUCAUUCACUGCUAUUACUGUUUUGAGCUGAGAAUUUUUUAAUGAUUCUUCUAGGGAAUCUCAUUGUUUAUUUCCCAAUGCUUCUUUCAUUCACAUGCUUUAAACUGCAGGUGGGAUGGCCAUUCAUUUAUUUACUCAUUCAUUUAAAAAUACACAUCAGCACUUUCAGCAUUAUUCUGGGUCGGAUUUGCACUAUAUUUUACGGAAAAUUCUCAAUUCAUGACUGCUAAUUAAAACCUUUUACAAUUUCCACUGAUGGAGAGGAUGCACAAAAGAUUUGCCUCUAUUUGAAUUAUAUUUUUUAUCAUUUUGUUUGAUAUAAAAAGAGAGGGAAGCUAAAUGCCAAAAUGUGUACAAUUAUUUUUGAAACAGAAGGACAAUUCGUUUAUUGAAGUAGAAAAACAGAAGUGAUAAUCAUGACAAAUAUGAGUUGGACCCACAAUGGUAACCUGUUAAUUUGUGCUUUGGGAAAUUAUUUCCAUGAUUACUGGUACUUUAUUUUUAAAUUUCUAUUUUGAGUUAAUAUAGCUUUAUUUUUACAGAAAAGCUCUACAAAUAAUGAAGAGUUUUCAUGUACUCAUUACUCACUUUCCUCCCUGUUGACAUCCUACAUUUUCAUGGCAAUUUAUAAAACCAAUAAAUCAAUGUUGAUACCUUUCUAUGGACUAAACAUUAGAUUAUUUUUUUAAUUCAAUUCUUUCUCAUGAAUGUCCUCCUUACAUUUCAGCACCCAAUCCAGGUUGCAACAUUGCAAUCAGCUGUGAAUGUCUAUCUAGACUUUUCUGAUCACUGACAGUUGCAUAGUCUUUCAUUAGACUUAUUUACUUCAGUAGAUUACAGAUGUCCUGUCCAAAUAUUGUUCAACUUGGGUUUCUGUAAAUUUAUUCUCUUGAUUAGAUUAGUUUUAGCGGUUUUUGAGAGAGCACCAGAAAGAUAAGUUGCCUUCCUCAUUACUGCAUUUUGGGCAUUCCAUACUAUCACAUGAUAUUAGUGGUGAUGUUAAUCUUCCUCAUUUAGUUAAAUUUUUAGCCAAGAUUAUCUACUGUAAAGGUACUUUCAUUGCUUUCCUGUACUCAGUCAUUGUUUUUUUAAGAUUUAUUUUAUUAAUUUGAAAGGCAAAGUUACAGAGAGAGAAAGAGAGAGAGAGAAUCUUCUUUGAUCCACUGGUUCACCAACAAAUGGCUGCAAUAGUCAGGGCUGGGCCAGGCUGAAGCCAGGAGCCAAGAGCUUCACCCAGUUUCCCAAGUGGGUGCAGGGAUCCAAGCACUUGGGCCAUCUUCUGGUGCUUUCCCCAGGCCAUUGGCAGGGAGCUGAAUGGGAAGUGGAGCAGCUGGGACUCAGAGUAGCACACACAGGGGAUGCUGCAGUCUCAGGUAUUGGCUUUACCCACUAUGCCACAACACUGGACCCAUAUUCAUUCUUCAGAGAAUUAAGCUCCACACCCUGAAAUGGGAGAAUACAUACAAAUGCUAUUUGGUAUUAUUUGGUAAGAAUGUUUUUUUUUUGGCCAAAUUUAUAAAUUAUUCAAUCAUUUAUUUAUAUCUUUCUGGACUCAGAUAGAAAUAGAAAUAGAUACACACACACAUAUAUAUAUUUAAAUUUGGGUGUAUUUCUGUUAUAUUCUCAUAUUAUCAUAUGUUUAUUGUGCUCAUAUUCUUUCAGUUUUGGGCAUCACUAGUUCUUCUAGGUUGGUUUUUGAGUCCUUGGACUUUUUGCAUCCUUUUGCUUUUCAGAGAACUUCUUUACUCUUUGGUCCUAAGAGUUGUUCCAGAUUCACUGUGCUUUCUGCACUAUAGAAAAAGAAUCAACUGUUUCUCCAACAGGAAUAUAGAAAUCAAAUCGACUGUACUACAUGCUGUUAGGGUGUCAGUACUAGCCUGUGUAUUGGAUUUAUACAGCUGCUUUAACAAGGUGGCACAGUCUGCUCCAACAGAAAUUUACACAAUAUAAAUUUAUUUUGUCAUACCUCUGGGAAAAUAAAACGAAACCUAAAAGUAAGAUCGAGGUGUUGUCAGCUUCGGUUUCUCUCAAGGCCUAUUUCCUUGCAGAUGGCUCUCUGUUCACUGCAUCCUCACAUGUUGUUUUCUCUGCGUAUGCAUUUGUCUCCUUACUGUGUGUGCCCACAUUUCCUUUUCUUAAGACACACCUUGAUGACCUCAUUAAGGUACUAGAAUUUAGAGGUAAAACAUAUGCCUUUUGGAAGGAAACACUCAGUUCAUAAUAGUGUGAAUUCACAUGUGUCAUAAUUUACUAUUCAAUACUAUAUACAGAAAUAUAUAAUAUAUAAUGCAAUGUAAACAAUCUAUACCCCUAACUGAUUCUUUGUCUAUUGCCAUGUGAACUCACAUGUUUGAGCUAAAACUGUGCUAAGUGUCUAGCUGGAAUCAAUAGUGAAAAUAUUUUAAAUUUGGUAAAUUAACUAAAAGCUUGAUAAAUAAUGAUCACUGUCAUUGCAUUGUAAUGCAGGAUGUUUCCAAAGUGUCUUCUAAAUAGUUUUUUUUUUUCAACACAUUUUGUAUUAUUCACAUGUGAUUUACUUAUCAGUGUUGUAGAUUUGAAAUGCUUAAUGGUACAAAAAGCUCUACAAAAAGAUCAGUAUAGGUCUAGAAACUCUUGGAGUUGUGUAUAUAAAAAUCUAAAAUAUACAGAGUCAGUGCCUUUACAUUUUUCUCUCACGUGUAUUGGAAUGUCCUCACUAUGAAGCUAAUUACUUCACAAAUGUAAGAUAAAUAUUUGAAUUACUAUUCAAGACUAGAGAUACAACAAUUAUCAAAAUACUUCAACAGAUUUUAUAUUCUCCAUGGAUGGAUCAUAAUUUUUGUUUUAGAAAGAAUGACCACUUUAUCAACAUAUUUAUGGCUAAAAAUUAAAAUUCCAAAAUUAAAAUGCAUUCCUAAUUUAUUGCAGAUGACAUUAGAAAUAAAAAAUAAUGGCUAUCUGGAAAAUCAGGAAGCAGGCAGAUAUUCAAUGUUUCCAUUCUAUUUCUGCAUCC